CUCUCCUACGGGCGCAGCAGUGGGGAAUAUUGGGCAAUGGGCGCAAGCCUGACCCAGCAACGCCGCGCGAAGGAAGAAGGCUUUCGGGUUGUAAACUUCUUUUGUCAGGGACGAAGCAAGUGACGGUACCUGACGAAUAAGCCACGGCUAACUACGUGCCAGCAGCCGCGGUAAUACGUAGGUGGCAAGCGUUAUCCGGAAUCACUGGGCGUAAAGGGCGCGUAGGCGGUAAUAUAAGUCAGAUGUGAAAGGUGGGGGCUCAACCCCUAGAGUGCAACUGAUACUGUAUAACUUGAGUGUGAGAG
rnacentral:rRNA from 1 species